rnacentral:rRNA from 1 species
AGGGUGUAAACGCUGCAGACUUGGUGUUGGAAGCCCUUUGGGGGCAUUCAGUGCCGGAGAGAAGUUGUUAAGUCUGCUACUUGGGGAGUACGUCCGCAAGGAUGAAACUUAAAGGAAUUGGCGGGGGGAGCACCGCAACGGGAGGAGCGUGCGGUUUAAUUGGGAUUCAACACCGUAAAACUCACCAGGGAGACUGUUACAUGAAGGCCGAGAUGAAGACUCUGCUAGAUUUUCAGAGAGGAGGUGCAUGGCGUCAGUGACU